AUCGCUUCUCGGCCUUUUGGCUAAGAUCAAGUGUAGUAUCCUUACUGGGUCAAGCAGUGACCUGCCUAGUCUAU